GACGAACGCUGGCGGCGUGCUUAACACAUGCAAGUCGAACGGAAAGGCCUCUUUCGGGGGGUACUCGAGUGGCGAACGGGUGAGUAACACGUGAGUAACCUGCCCUUGACUUUGGGAUAACUUCAGGAAACUGGUGCUAAUACCGGAUAGGAGCUCCUUCUGCAUGGUGGGGGUUGGAAAGUUUUGGCGGUUGGGGAUGGACUCGCGGCUUAUCAGCUUGUUGGUGGGGUAGUGGCUUACCAAGGCUUUGACGGGUAGCCGGCCUGAGAGGGUGACCGGCCACAGUGGGACUGAGAUACGGCCCAGACUCCUACGGGAGGCAGCAGUGGGGAAUAUUGCACAAUGGGUGGAAGCCUGAUGCAGCAACGCCGUGUGCGGGAUGACGGCCUUCGGGUUGGAAACCGCUUUCGCUCAUGACGAAGCUUUGUGUGACGGUAGUGGGUAAAGAAGCACCGGCUAACUACGUG
rnacentral:rRNA from 1 species